GUGCCCAUUUCGGCAGCACAUGUGUUAAAGUUGGAACAAUACAGAGAAGAUCAGCAUGGCCCUGCACAAGGAUGACACACAAAUUCACAAAGUGUUCCACAUUUUU
ensembl:snRNA U6 U6 spliceosomal RNA